rnacentral:rRNA from 1 species
UGGGGAAUAUUGCACAAUGGAGGGAACUCUGAUGCAGCGACGCCGCGUGAACGAAGAAGGCUUUCGAGUCGUAAAGUUCUUUUAUAUGGGAAGAUAAUGACGGUACCAUAAGAAAAAGCCCCGGCUAACUACGUGCCAGCAGCCGCGGUAAUACGUAGGGGGCUAGCGUUGUCCGGAAUCACUGGGCGUAAAGGUUCGCAGGCGGAAAUGCAAGUCAGGUGUAAAAGGCAGUAGCUUAACUACUGUAAGCAUUUGAAACUGCAUAUCUUGAGAAGAGUAGAGGUAAGUGGAAUUUUUAGUGUAGCGGUGAAAUGCGUAGAUAUUAAAAAGAAUACCGGUGGCGAAGGCGACUUACUGGGCUCAUUCUGACGCUGAGGAACGAAAGCGUGGGUAGCAAACAGG